UAAAGAGACUGAGGUGAGAUGG
rnacentral:piRNA from 1 species